CAAAGAUUAAGAACCAAUGCGAAUGAGGAACUCAUGACACCGCCCAGGAGACAGUGAACAUAUCUCUUCAAAUAUCAAAAACCUUUCAGCAGAGGAGCCAUUCACCUUGAAGCUGAGGAGGCAUGGAAGCAGGCCACCUGUGUUCUGUACAGCAUCACCAGGCUGGAAAUCUGCCAUGGCUUUCCUUCACGCCAUCACAAGAGGAUACAGAUGAGGCUGCAGAGGCAUCUUGAUUUGAGAAAAGCAUUUGACUGGAUCUCAUUAAAUUUUAAUCAUUAACUGAAUUCAAAAUAAAUUGAAAACUGGUUGACAGAGCACCAACAAAGGGUGAUGAUAAAUGGUGAUGCAUCUAGAGGGGAGCUAUCUUCCAGGGGACAACUCUAAGGCAAGGACGGAUGGGAUUUAAUGAAGGUGUUAUGUCCCCAGAAGAAGACAAAUAGCACAGCAAGGAACAGAGGAAGGACAGGAGUGAGCAGCCUGAGUAAUUAAUAAACCAUAUUAACAGCUCCUCCAUAAUCAGGCCUUGGUGAUCACAACUGCUUGGAUUUUUUCUUAAGCUUUCUUUGAGUCAGGAAUAGGUUUGAAGCGUCCUAGAGACACACAGCAUGAAUAUUUC
rnacentral:lncRNA from 10 species